GAGGAUGCUGGAGUCACCUGUGCAGACCCAUAUGUGUCUCCUACAACUGCACCCAGAACAACCACAAGCACCUCCACCUUUACAGAUGUUCAGAAGACAUCCAGUCCUCUACAAA